rnacentral:rRNA from 1 species
UCGGGAAUAUUGCGCAAUGGAGGAAACUCUGACGCAGUGACGCCGCGUAUGGGAAGAAGGUUUUCGGAUUGUAAACCAUUUUAGACAAGGAAGAAAAAAGACAGUACUUGUAGAAUAAGCUCCGGCUAACUACGUGCCAGCAGCCGCGGUAAUACGUAGGGAGCAAGCGUUAUCCGGAUUUAUUGGGUGUAAAGGGUGCGUAGACGGGAAGGUAAGUUAGUUGUGAAAUCCCUCGGCUCAACUGAGGAACUGCGACUAAACUGCUUUUACUUGAGUACUGGAGAGGAAAGUGGAAUUCCUAGUGUAGCGGUGAAAUGCGUAGAUAUUAGGAGGAACACCAGUGGCGAAGGCGGCUUACUGGACUGACAAUGACGCUGAGGCUCGAAAGCGUGGGGAGCAAACAGGAUUGAUACCC